rnacentral:rRNA from 1 species
CGUGUAGGCGGCUAGACAAGUCAGAUGUGAAAUCCCUGGGCUUAACCCAGGAAGUGCAUUUGAAACUGUCCGGCUGGAGUAAGGGAGAGGAAAGUGGAAUUCCUGGUGUAGAGGUGAAAUUCGUAGAUAUCAGGAGGAACACCGGUGGCGAAGGCGACUUUCUGGCCCUAUACUGACGCUGAGACGCGAAAGCGUGGGUAGCAAACAGGAUUAGAUACCCUGGGUAGUCCACGCUGUAAACGAUGUUCACUAGGUGUUGGGGUAUUGACCCUUUCAGUGCCGCAGCUAACGCAUUAAGUGAACCGCCUGGGGAGUACGGUCGCAAGAUUAAA